rnacentral:ncRNA from 2 species
GAUCUUUGCUAGGGGUGUCCGCCAUGGACGGACUGAGAACCCGGGGCACGAGCCGCCGGGUAACCCUUUGAACCUGAUCCGGAUAGUGCCGGCGUAGGGAAGCGUGAGAGUCACGGA